UACGGCUCAGUAACACGUGGAUAACUGCCCUAAGGAAGGGGAUAACCUCGGGAAACUGAGGAUAAUACCCUAUAGGAUACCGAUGCUGGAAUGCCCGGUAUCCCAAAGCUCCGGCGCCUUAGGAUGGAUCUGCGGCCGAUUAGGUCGUUGUUGGGGUAACGGCCCAACAAGCCGAUAAUCGGUACGGGUUGUGGGAGCAAGAGCCCGGAGUUGGAUUCUGAGACACGAAUCCAGGCCCUACGGGGCGCAGCAGGCGCGAAAACUUUACAAUGCGGGCAACCGUGAUAAGGGAACCUCGAGUGCCUGUACAUGCAGGCUGUCUGGGUGUCUAAAACACACCCAAAGAAAGGGCCGGGCAAGACCGGUGCCAGCCGCCGCGGUAAUACCGGCGGCUCGAGUGGUGGCCACUUUUAUUGGGCUUAAAGCGUUCGUAGCUGGGUUGUUAAGUCUCUUGGGAAAUCUGGCAGCUUAACUGUCAGGCGUCUAAGAGAUACUGGCAAUCUAGGAACCGGGAGAGGUGAGGGGUACUUCGGGGGUAGGAGUGAAAUCCUGUAAUCCUCGAGGGACCACCUGUGGCGAAGGCGCCUCACCAGAACGGCUUCGACAGUGAGGGACGAAAGCUGGGGGAGCAAACCGGAUUAGAUACCCGGGUAGUCCCAGCCGUAAACGAUSCGCGCGUUUUGUCGAUGACCACGAGUCAUCGAGGUGCSGAAGGGAAACCGUGWAACGCGCCGCCUGGAAG
rnacentral:rRNA from 1 species